AAGGGCCCGCAGGGCCUCCAGUAGCAAAGCCACUGGCCCCGCGUCCCCGCGUCCCCCUGCGCCGCGCCCCGGGGCGCAGGCAGGGACCACGCGGCCGGCGUGGGGGCGGCGCCACCCGCAGCAGAAAGCCCCGGCGUGGACCGCGUGGCGUAGGAAAGCGCUCCCCUCGCCCCCAGCCGCAGAGGGCUUGGGCAGCAUCGGGCGCGGCCCCGGGAGAGUGCGUCCGCGGCGCCAGCGGCUGCAGGGUGACCUGUUUCGGGCGGGGACACUCACCAGAAGAACACGCGUGAGCAGAGGACCAAACGACGGUGCCAUGGGAGGCUCUUCAACCUGUGAGCCAAACAUUUGACCUUGGACGACAGCAAAGUUUAGCCACAGAUUAUCCUUGUAGAGCUGCAAGACCUCAAGAAAGCCGGAUUGGGAAAGGAAUAUAAGAGGAAAGAGAGACUGCCUGAUGAUUUCUGUCGUCAAGCCCUAAAGCCUAACAGAUAACAGUGGCAAACGACACGUGGGUUCCAGAAU
rnacentral:lncRNA from 1 species